GGGCCAUUAGCUCAAUCGGUGGAGCAGGACACUCUUAAUGUCAAGGUCGAAGGUUCGACUCCUUCAUGGCCCA
rnacentral:tRNA from 1 species